rnacentral:lncRNA from 1 species
CAGGAGGAGGGAAAAACAGGGCCACAGGCUGGGCAUGACACAUCUUGUUACCCAUGCAAUGUUGGGGUCAGAGAGUGUAGAGAGUGGUGUGGGGAGAGUGCAGGCUGAAGAGUUACCUAAGGUCAAAAUCCUGACCUAUGAGCCAAGCCAUCGAUUUGGGAUUUCUACUGAGGACACUGGAAGUCACUAAGAGCAUCUGAAUGGUUAUGUGAAGUUGGCAGUUCCCAAGGGCUUUAGGCUUGAAGCUGUGGGUCAUACCCCUUCGGAAACUUGGUCCCCAAGAGAAAUGUAUGCUUCUGAAAACCACAGCAAAAGCAUUCCUACACGUUGAGGCCUGCCAGCGUGGGUGUCACCCAGGAGCCACUCGGAAAGGCUCAUCGGAAACCACCCCGGACUGACUGAGGCAGAAUCUCUGGGGGCAGGACCCAGGCCUCAGCAUAAAAACUCCAGGUGACGGAAGAGCUCCCACCUAACAGAAAGAAAAUAAAAGAGACUGAGAAACCACAGAAAUAAAGAAGCGCUGAUGACAAUGCCUGCUUGCUGAUGGUUACGAUGAUCAUAGCAGUGUGCAUUUUGUAUGCAUGAAGCCUGCGACUAAAUAAACGUGUGGGGAAAUAUUUGUAAGGAAAUAAGCUAUUAAUAAAAUAAGCUAAAAUCACAGUUGCUGGACUAUGACUGAUUUUUCCCCUUUCUCUCAUUUAAAAUUAAAUAUUUGUAUGACUUGUAUAAUAGAAAAAUACAUGUAUUCAAUCUUAAAAAGAUAUUCUUAUUUUACACUUUACGGGACAAAAGAGGUUGUAGGUUGGAAUGGUUCAGUCCCCUUGUGACAACUCAAAAACAGAGACCUUAAGCCUUUCUCAACCAAUGUUGCGGGACAAGCAGGCGUGUGAGGCGACAAUGCCAUUAGGGUAUUUUUUGGAAAAAUUUUAGUGUGAGAGACAAAAGCCAAAUUCAAACUGGCCUGAGCCAAAAUAGGUAGGAAAGGGAGAAGCGGAGACAGGGAGGAAGAAAGAGAGAGAACAGAAAGAAAAAGGGAGAAAUGUCGAAAGGCAAAAUUACAACACAUUUAGUUAAAUGAUUGAAUUGGUUUUUAUUUGUAAUUCAUGAAUUGGGGCAGCAUCUCCUCUAAAACUUUAGGAAAAGUGCUCUGAUGAGCUAAACAGAGAAGCUUGGCUUUAUAGGCAGAAAAGGGUGAAGAAAGCAGACACAGGGAACAAAAAGCAGAUUGGUAAGCUCAGGUUACUUCAGGUUACUUUCCUUAUAAAGGUUAAAGUAGAGGGGACUUCCUUAUCAUGCUGGCUACAACUGGCCUGUUUGGGGAUUUGCAUAUUAUCUCUCUCUGUCUUGAGUUCUGGGAAGGUCUGAUGACUUAGUUUCAGUUUGGUGAUAUGGAACUUAGCAUGAGUGACUCCAUCUUGGUUUGGUCUACUGGGGCCUCCUGCAGGAGCUCAGCCCAAAUCAGUGACCUCCUAUAAAUUUCAUUUAAUAGAAAAGGAAGGAAGGAAGGAAGGAAGGAAGGAAGGAAGGAAGGAAGGAAGGAAGGGAGGGAGGGAGGGAGGGAGGGAGGGAGGAAGGGAGGAAAGAAGGAAGGAAAGAAAGAAAGUUGCUUAUAAGUUGCUUAUAACUAAAAAGACCAGCUGGACCCAGGAGCUCUGAGGUUGCUUUCAGGCCUCUGUCCAUCUCUUAGUUUUCCAUCCUCAGACAGGCUCUGCCCUGCCUUACAGUCUAGCAUUGUUGGCCAAAGGUGACUGACUGGCCCAGCUUGGGCUAUAUGUCCUUCCCUGUGGCCAGAGAGAUGUGUCUCUGUGAUGGCCAGGCUUGGGUCACGUACUCCCUCCCCUACCAGAAUCACAUGAAAAGAGGGAGGAAGAGCCGCUUUCCACCAAAGGAAACUGAAGUGCUAUUGUCAGAGGGGUUGCUGGGCAGACCAAAAAGAUGACAAUAUCUGCUCCAAUCGCUCGGGUUGUUGGUGCUUGGCAGAUUUGCCCCUACGUCACUUUUCAGAUGUGGAUAAGACUGAAGGUGACCACAGGCUUCCGAGAGGAAAGCUGCCAAUGGGGGUGUGAGAGGAGGGGGAAUUCUUACUCACCAAGGUUAACACUGUGCACACUGUUCUCCGAGGAAGUGGGAAUUUCCACAUGGUGAGUUCCCUUCCCUGUACAAUGAAUUACUAUCUUGAUGAGAAACCCGUGGGCAGCUGGUUGAGAAGAGAAAGGUAUUCUCUGAAUGAGAGGGAAUUUACCACCUUCCUUUCAAUGGUGACAGUUUUUUCUGGUGUCACCGCAGGGUGUGGAUUGAUUCAUAUACAAAUAUACAUAUCUACAUAGAUGCCAUUCUGCUAGCCUCUGCAAAAUGCAUGCCUGGAGACCAUUUCUGCUGCCUAGGAGAUGUCAACUUUGUCACCACCACUCUCUCUCCACCACUCCCACACCCUGCAGGGGCCAGGUGUGUGGGUGGGGAGCUCCCCAGCUGGAGGCCAGAUUAGAGGUCUCUGUGUGGUGGGGAUGGGGAGGAUGGGGUGGGAAUGAGGUGGUAGGCCACUGGCAGUGGUCCAAGUUCCAUCCAGGAUCUGUCCUAGGCCUCUCCCCAGGCUGUCGCUUCCACCAUUGAAUUUCUAACCUGGAUCUCUAAGGUUAUGAAUAUCUCAUUCCCGCAUCCUGGGGUGCUCAGACAUGUCUCCCCUGAGUCUCUAGCUGGGCUCGUGGCUGUGAUCAUUGUCCUCAGAGUUCCAUCCUCCCAACAAAGGGACAGAAGAAACACAGGGCCCACUUUUCUGGAUUCUGAGUUGGAGCCAAGAAAUUCUAUCUGCUGCUUCCUUCCUGUUGAAUUAUCCCCCAAGGACCCCUUAGUCCCUCCAGUCUCCUCCAGAGGCCUAUAGCUGCCCCAGCUCCCCAUGAUGGAUACCUGGCUCUUUCCUACCCAGAGGAAAACGCAGGCCCUUCCCCAGCCCUGCACUGAACUCCUGUGAGUGGCUGAGGAGAUGAGGAGGUGUGAAGAGUGAGUGUGUUGGGGAGGGAGGGGUCCCCUGCCACCAGGUACCAAGGACUUCUGCCAGAUCACCAGAACUGACACCUGGUUCCACCGGCCAGCUGUGAAGUGUCGGCCCUGACAUCAACAGCUGACCUCCCACAGGGCCUAAGGAAACGGAAUUGUGG